rnacentral:misc_RNA from 1 species
GGGCCAUGCUGUAUCAAGGGACUUGAUUCACUGGUUUUACCUCCCAUUUGCAAUGGUCCCUGAUCAGUGGUAUGAUACAAACGGCGUGUGGACUGGCUCGGCUACUCUCCUUCCAGAUGGUCAAAUCAUGAUGCUUUACACUGGAGACACCAGUGAUUCAGUGCAGGUGCAAAAUCUCGCGUACCCGGCUAACCUGUCUGAUCCACUUCUCAUUGACUGGAUCAAAUACCCGGGCAAUCCAGUUCUGGUUCCCCCGCCAGGAAUUGAAACCGACGAAUUUAGGGACCCGACUACAGGGUGGGUUGGACCCGAUGGAAAGUGGCGGAUCACUAUCGGGUCAAGAAUUAAUGAAACUAUUGGCGUUUCACUUGUGUAUCAAACCACCAACUUCACAACCUACGAGCUGUUAGAAGGGUUCUUACAUGCGGUUCCGGGUACGGGUAUGUGGGAAUGUGUGGACUUUUAUCCGGUUGCAAUAAACGGGUCCCAGGGAUUAGAUACAUCAGCUAAUGGACCGGAUAUUAAGCAUGUGCUAAAGGCUAGUUUGGAUAAUACAAAAGUAGAUUAUUAUGCACUCGGAACCUAUGACCCAGUAACAGAUAGAUGGACACCCGAUAACCCGAAGGAGGAUGUGGGUAUUGGGUUACGGGUGGACUAUGGAAGGUACUACGCCUCAAAGACAUUUUAUGACCAGUACAAGAAAAGGAGGAUUCUAUGGGGUUGGAUCAAUGAAACUGACACUGAAGAAGAUGACUUGGAAAAGGGCUGGGCCUCUGUUCAGACCAUUCCAAGGGCUGUAUUAUUUGACAAUAAGACUGGAACCAAUUUGCUUCAAUGGCCAGUGGAGGAGAUUGAGAGCUUGAGAUUGAACAGUACUGACUUUGAAGAGGUUUUGGUUGAACCUGGUUCAGUAGUCCCGCUGGACAUAGGCAUGGCCACGCAGCUAGACAUUUUUGUGGAGUUUGAAACAGAAUUGAUAUCAGAUUCGGUGGUUGAAGAAUACGGUUGCAGUGGUGGUGCAGUAGACAGGAGCUCUUUGGGACCAUUUGGUAUCCUGGCUAUUGCAGACCAAACACUUUCUGAACUCACACCUGUGUUUUUCCGUCCUGUCAAUUCAACUGACGGCACUCUCAAGACUUAUUUCUGUGCUGACGAAACAAGAUCAUCAAAAGCUCUUGAUGUCUUUAAGCAAGUUUAUGGAAGCACUGUUCCUGUGCUGGAAGAUGAAAAACUAGGCAUGAGGGUUCUGGUCGAUCAUUCGAUUGUGGAAAGUUUCGCACAAGGAGGAAGAACAGUAAUCACAUCGCGGAUUUAUCCAACAGAAGCAAUCUAUGGAGCUGCAAGGCUGUUCUUAUUCAACAACGCAACUUCUGUGAACGUUAAAGCUACACUCAAGAUAUGGGAGUUGAAUUCUGCCUUUAUCCGUCCGUUUCCAUUUGUUGACAGCAAUUAAAACACUUUUGUUUUGUCAAAUUCGUCCUAUUUGACGUUCCAUUUGAUUGCCAAUGCCCAGAGAUUGCAAAUCCUUGGCCAACCUAUGAUGUAUUAUUUCUUAUUUUUUUUUUUUGGAAAAAAAAUUGUAGGGGUUCCAGUACGUAUGCAAUUUAUUUGCUAAAUUCCGUUUAGGGCUAUUCCA